rnacentral:lncRNA from 1 species
UAUACCUCAGUAAAGUUUUUAAAAGAAAGAUUAGAAACUAAAUAAUAUAUAUAACUGCCAUACACACAAAAAACCCACCAUGGAAACAGUGAAGAGUAGAACAGUUUCUGCAGAAAAAAUGAGAAUAAUUUUCUACACUUUUUAUGUGGUGAAACAUGCCAGAAACUCUGCAGAGUUAGAGAUUUUUGACUGUUUUGUCACUCAAAUGUCUGGAAUAUUCCAGGAAUGCAAGAAUACUUCAAUAUUUAAAAAACUAGUAAAUGGUUUAGCCCAUCAAUAAUUUAAAAAGUCUUAUGUUUUCAAAGAUUAUGAACUUGCUUUUGAUAAAUUCAACAUUAGUUUAUAUUAAAUGUUAGUUAUAAAGAACAGAAGAUCACAUUCUUAGGUGUUAAAGUGUAUCUCAAACCGAAAAAAGGGGAGGGAAGAAUUGAAGGAACGCUCUGUAUUGCUGAAAAUGCAACUACAGAAAAUUGGAAGAAUUAAACAUUUUUAGGAUUCAGGCCAAAUAUUUGCUUGGUGUUUUAACUGUAUAUGGAAAAAUGAUGAAGUACAGCAGAGAAUCUUCAAAGAAACAGAAAAUGACACAGCAGAAUACUUCUGAUACUUCUACUGUGUCAUAUAAUUGAGAGCUGUGAAGUUUAUGAAAAUUUUCACUGCUGUGACACUUUGCAAUUUUGUUAAAGAUUUUUUAGAGUUUGAUAAAGAAAGCAUUCUAAAAUUCAUGAAAGAUGAUCAAAUACAAAAAAGCCAACAUCAUUGUCUUGGUUACAGCUAGUGACUUGUGAAAAAGUAUCGAGAUUUUACUUUUUCAUAAAAUUUUAUUAUUUAUCAGCAUUUCUAUCAACUUUGGGCUACACUUCAUGAUGCUUGAGUAAGGCUUUGCAGAAUGCAGUAUUUUCCCUGUGAUUCAGCCACUGACAUCUGGUAGUUCUGUUUCCUCUUCAAAGCUGUCAAACAUUAUCAGCUGCCUGAAAAAUGUGUUAGGGGGUUUCCCUUUUAUCACCCAAGGUCCUCACAAAAAUGUCAGGACUUAUUUUGUAUGUAUCUGUGAGCAACUGUAGUGUUUCUGUCUGACCUGGACUUUCUUGGCCCACACACUAGCCUCUGCUUGACAUUUCUUUUUGGCUGGCCACUCCUUCACAGUUCUCAUGGAAGAACUAGAAGAACACCAUUUUUGUUUCUUUUUUCUUUUUCUGUUUGUUUUUAGCCAGUAGUCACUGAAGGACCAACUAAGCUUUUGUGCAAAGGCUGAAGAAGCAGGAACCAGAGAUGCACAAACAGGAGAUAAUGCAAGUUCUGAAGUUCUGAAUGAAAAAAAUUAAGUGAUAUUUACUAUUCUACAGCGACUUGUUGAGGUGCUAAGGAAAGCCAUGCGAUGCCACGCCUGGCAACAAACCCACACUGCUUCAACUUCCUGUGAAGAAAGCCCUACCAUGAUCCCCACCCACAUUAUUUAUUUUGAUGACCCAAACAAAUAAGAAAAUGUAGCCAGGAGUGUUUCCUUCCAUAAUUCAAGUAGUACUGGGUUUUAAUACAAAGGAAAGCAAGAUGCUGGGCAAGUUGGUGUGGUUAAAGACCCUGCACAGGAGUUCUCUUGUGGAAAGUAGCAGAAAACCCACUAAUGUUCAGGAGCUCUGGGAUCUAGUCUUGAUUCCGCCAUACAGCAACUUGCUGUGUUACUAUAUGAGCAUUUCAGAUAAUUUCUCUACGUCUUUAUUUUCCCAUUGUCUCAGUUAAUAUCUUGGUUGCAAGAAACAGGUACCAAAUCAAGUUGGUUUAAUCUAGAUACAGAUAAAUAGAAGGAUAGAUAGCUAAUAGUUCUCAACUGGGGGGUGGUUUUAUCACCCCCCCCAUCCACCCCAAGUGGACAUUUUGCUAUGUCUAGAGGUAUUUUUGGUUGUCAUAACUGGGAGGAUUGAUGCUGUCAUCAACUGGGUAAAGUCCAGGGACUACCCUACAAUGCAUAGGAUGGCCCCCAACAAUAAAGAAUUAUCUGGAUCAAAAUAGUGAUGAGAUUGGGAAUCCCUGAUAUCUCUCUCUCUUUCUCUCUCUCUCUCUUUGUAUAUAUACUAUGUAUAUAAUAUUUAUGUGUGUGUAAUUUUUAAAGCAUAGUAUAUUAUUUCACAAAAUCUAGGGAAAUUUGGGGGGUUGGAAAUCAUGGCUCAGGAAGAGUAGAAAUCAAGCACAUUUUGCAGGUUUUGAGUUCUCAACAGAGUUCAAAGGCCUUCCUCUUAGUGCCCUCUGAUUUCCAGGACUCACUUACAAAUGCCCAUUCUCUGUGAACCUCAGACUGAGGAGAAAUGAAAUAGACACAGCUUGAGUCAGCUGUUCAUUCUGCUCUAGUUGGCUAUGUCCAAGGGGGAAUGUUCAAGCCAAAGUUCAAGCCAGUGACCAUCCUUGGAGACUGGGUCAGGAGCCCUUAGAAAGGUGGAGUUGGGAAAACAGCCCUAAGGAGGCCUAUUACAUUUAUCUAUGAGAUAACAAUAAUGCCACUGCUCUUCUGGAGACCUACUAUCAAAUAAAAGGUUGUGGGCCCCAGGGGAACUUGGAAACAGAAAUGGCAGGUGUCUCCUUUAAAUGGCAUUCAUAAUAUUUCUCUUUUUUUUCUAUCUUGAAGAACAGAUUUCAUUUUUUACACUUCUAUAAAACAAAUGGAACCAUGACUUAUGUUCCACAAUUUCCAUAGCUGAUUUCAUGAACUUUAACAAGUUUUCCUUAUUUAUAGCAGUCCCAAGCUUUAUUCCCUUAGAGAUGUCAGGACGUGGAGGGUAAUUUUGCUGCCUGCCCUCUAUGCUUUAAAGACCAAGUGAAUUGAAAGAACAGUAAAUCCCUGCCCCAACACAAUAAGUGAGGUCCAGAAGAAUUUUACGUGGGGUCUAAAAUUCAAUCAACUAUUCGUGGUCGCGUUAUUUUGAAGCUAAUGAAAUGGAUGCCAGGAACCUGCACAGCUUGCCAGUUGGUAGCGCCAACGGAAGCCCAUGCCAAACUUGGCUGAGUUUGCCGCCAUCUAGUGGCCACUCCCAGCGUCAGUUUACACCUCGCAAUGAACAGGAAGCAGGCCUGUGGCUGGCCAGGACCAGCCUUCAGCAGGCCAUUCUAGGAUUUUCCCGGUUAGCUGUCGCUCUUGGAUUGGUCCAGACCAGGAAGACUAAUUAUUACAGGAUUACUUAAUGAGGAGAUUUUCUGUACUUGGAAACAUAAAGCAAUGGUUUUAACCUUUGUGAGAUUACAGGCCCCUUUGAGAAUCUGCCUAUAUGCAUAUAAUUUUUCACACAAUUUCUAGAGGGUUUUGGGCUUACUGAAGCUAAUCCAUGGACACAAAGGGAAAGACACUGAAUAUAAACCUGAUACAGAUGUUAGCUGGGUGUAAUUGUAAGCCAUUCUGAAGUCGUUUGGAACAGAAAGGGAAAAUGGCAAUGGCAGGUGUGCGAAUAGGAGGAAAUCUACUGCUAACUGGAGGAUAGUAAGAGUCUUAACUGUCCUCUAAAAUGUGCCAAAUGCCCGUGGCUCUUUAGUUGUAUUUAUACAUGCUAUGUAUCUCCACCUUAGCUUUCCACCCUUAAAAUUGGUUCCUUGUUUUACAUGCCUGAGUUUUUCCUGGCCCUUCCUAUUCUCCUCUGGUUUCUAUCCAAAGUCUCUAGUGGACCAACAAUAGGUUUGGGUUGGGAGUCAGAAUACUGCCUGGGAUUAGGCCAGCACCCCCCAUUGGCUGGGUGAGUGAGCAAGUCCUGCACCCUCCCUGGGCUCAGCGUGAGGAUGAGCAUCCUUUAACCCCUCUUAGGAUGGAAUGAGACACUGUGUACAAGUGAAAGACAUUGAAAGAGUCAGAAAUGGUAGACAAUUUUUGGAGUCUGCAAUGUUAUUCCAAAAACAAGUCCUUCUAGGAUACUCCACAGGUAAUUCGUGCUUAAAGCGGGUGAAAUAAAUGUCAGCUGGACUUGCUGGGAGAGAAAGGAUGUAUUGUCCUAUUUUCCAGGGGUCUGUUGACAAGUGGCAUUAAUAACUAUUAUUAGUGCCUCCUCCUCACUACUCACAUUAUAAGCAAAAAGCUUUCACCUUUGGUUUCAGUAACCCCUUAACACGUCACUUCUGACACUAAUUCCCUGUGUGAGCAGGAUCUGGGGCCGGCCCGGCCUCCACCCUCUUCUGUGCAGCCCUGACAUCUGCAGAAUCACAGACAGUCCGGUCUGCAGGGAACCUCAGAGAAGAAGGAAUGCCUUUAACUAAUUCAGGGCACUCAAACCACAACACACACACACAGACGCCUCUCACAGUGGAGGUACACAUUUUCCAAAAAUUAAAAAGUGCUCGGCCCGGUGCGGUGGCUCGUGCCUGCAAUCCCAGCACUUUGGGAGG